rnacentral:rRNA from 1 species
CCUACGGGUGGCAGCAGUGAGGAAUAUUGGUCAAUGGGCGCGAGCCUGAACCAGCCAAGUCGCGUGAGGGAAGACGGUCCUACGGGUUGUAAACUUCUUUUAUACGGGAGUAAUUCGAGAUACGUGUGCCUUGUUGAGAGUACCCUAUGAAUAAGGAUCGGCUAACUCCGUGCCAGCAGCCGCGGUAAUACGGAGGAUCCGAGCGUUAUCCGGAUUUAUUGGGUUUAAAGGGUGCGUAGGCGGUCAGGUAAGUUAGAGGUGAAAGUUCGAUGCUCAACAGCGAAACUGCCUUUGAUACUGUAUGCCUAGAGUGUAGUUGAGGAAGGCGGAAUGCGUGGUGUAGCGGUGAAAUGCUUAGAUAUCACGCAGAACUCCGAUUGCGAAGGCAGCUUUCCAAGCUGCAACUGACGCUGAGGCACGAAAGCGUGGGUAGCGAACAGGAUUAGAUACCCCUGUAGUC